rnacentral:rRNA from 1 species
AACUCCAGUUGAUCCUGCUGGAGGCUACUGCUUUUGGGGUCCGCUUAAGCCAUGCAUGUC